UAAAAACAUCUUCUACACAUGUCUUUGGCAAAUGAUGCCAAACUGGGUUUAGUACGUAGGUGAUGAACAGACCACAGGCAGGAAACAACAUGACUUUCACUUUUUCUAUCUUUGUCUCUCCACUCUUAGCAAACUCUGAUCAGGUUCUUGGGCUGCAGAUGAGAGCUCACUUCCAUGUAAAACAUUCCCACUCUCCUUCUGUUUUAUCUCUAAAGGCAAACAGCUAAUGAGAAAUAGCAUCAGAACAAGCAGGAUGGGAAACUCUGAAGGCUGCAUCUGGCCCAUUCCCAGAGGUUCUCCAUCCCUACUAUAAUGCAUCCCCAAACUGAGACAAGGACUGAAUUCACGAUGUCUAAAUGUGCACUUUCAUCACUGAACUCAAUAGGAUGCUGGAUCUGCCUUAUCCUUAGGAAAGGCGAGGCGGCUGCUUCAAGGUAGCAGGUCUCGGGUUUCAUGAGGAGGCAGCAAAUUGUUCUUUAAGCAAUUUUUUAUUAUUGUGUUUGUACUAUUGACAAUUGAGAGAUGUGCUUAUAGGAUUUUCUGCCUCAUGUGCCAAAAUAACUCGGCUGGCUUUUGGGUACUGUUCAUCUUGAACUGAUUGAGGCGGAAGCACAUUUUGCUGCUUUGUCUCAGGAGGCAAACCAUUUUGGAUUAGACUUGACAUGAUGGAAUAUGGAGGAUUAAGAAACCAGCCUCUGUUGCAUUUUGAACUCUGGACUACUCACUGAUGAAGCAGUUUGCAACCAACCCACAUGAGAAGUGAAAAUAUUUAUGUUCUUCAUAACUACUGUAUUUGUGCUUUCUGUAUUAUUUGUUAUAACUUGUAAACUGUGACACCAGUAUUAGCAAAUCACUUUUCUGUACAUGCUCGCUUUUAAUUUUUUUGGAUAUAUACUUUUACAAGAUAUCUUAGCUGUGAAAUAUCCCUUUCUGAAAUGGAAAACUCCUUGUUGUGAACCUAUCUGUAGACAAUGGAAGUGCAAAACUGUUUGGAAAAAAAGAUUUGUGAAUAAAUUACAUCAAAUUGACAAACAGAUUCCCCCCCCCCCAAUAAAGUAGUGUAAAUAAGAGUAAUUUUUCUCCA